GACAGAGGGUGCAAACGUUGCUCGGAGUCACUGGGCGUAAAGGGCGUGUAGGCGGGAAGGAAAGUCAGAUGUGAAAUCCCCAGGCUCAACCUGGGAACUGCAUUUGAAACUCCCUUUCUUGAGUACCGGAGAGGAAAGUGGAAUUCCUGGUGUAGAGGUGAAAUUCGUAGAUAUCAGGAGGAACACCAGUGGCGAAGGCGGCUUUCUGGACGGUGACUGACGCUGAGACGCGAAAGCGUGGGGAGCAAACAGG
rnacentral:rRNA from 1 species